AGACAAUUUGAAAGAUAACGCUGCUUCUACUGCUGACCAAGUGGACGAGAAGGCAAAGGGGAUGACCGGGAAGGGGACCGGCGCGGUGCAAGGAACGCUGAGUGCGAAAGCCAAGCAGGUAUGGGAGACGGCCAUAGAGACUGCUCAAAAGGCUAAAGAAACCGUGCUUGGGAAGGCGAAUGAUUCAAAAGACUCCAUUAAAGA